ACUUCAGCAAACACCGAAGAGUUUGAGAUUUUCUCCCCUGGCAGGUAUUUUGGCAGGACUAAAUUAUUGCUGAAGUCAGUCUGGAGGUCCAUCCCCAAACUCUUGGGGUAUCUACUCUCACUUAUUUUGAGCAAGAAGAGAAAUACUGCCACACACUUAAAGGACAGGAGAUCAACCACAAGCCUGAAGUUUUCUCACAAUGAAGGGAUUGAGUGAAUCUGAGAACACAAGCCACUGGGGCUGAUGGAACCAGAGCUGAGAGGAUUGGGUACCUUGGUCCAGGUUAACCUCAAGGGGCUAAUGAAGACUCCAAGAAGCCACUGCCAAGCAAGUUUUCUUCUAAGAGCAGAUGCUCUAAAGAGGUUGGAGAAGUGGAAGGGGCUGUGGCACUAUAUUUUUAGAAAGAGAAGGCAAAACCACUGAACUGAACCGAAUGGAACAAAAACUCCCAGUACCUUCUGGAAUAAUAUUCCAGCCAAAACGCCUGCCAGCAGAGGCCUUACCCGGGACUGGGUUUGUGCGCGCAGCGUUUAACU
ensembl:lncRNA